CGCGUAGGCGGACAUUUAAGUCAGGGGUGAAAUCCCGGGGCUCAACCCCGGAACUGCCCUUGAUACUGGGUGUCUUGAGUUCGAGAGAGGUGAGUGGAGUUCCGAGUGUAGAGGUGAAAUUCGUAGAUAUUCGGAGGAACACCAGUGGCGAAGGCGGCUCACUGGCUCGAUACUGACGCUGAGGUGCGAAAGUGUGGGGAGCAAACA
rnacentral:rRNA from 1 species